GCAGAAUUCCACCGGAUAACAAGUACAAACUUAAAGAGUACAUUUUAUUCUGCAUUUGAUAAGUAUAUGCCACGGCUCAUAACAUUGUACCGUGAAAAAGCGGCCCGCACUGGCAAAACUUCUGAAUUGCUAAGAAACAUCUUCAGGACUUAUGAUCUCCUUGAAGCCGUUGAUGUUAACAGCAGACGUACAAUUGCUCUGCGGGCACUUCCCAUUUUCCUGCGUGAAGAUGCUGAUGGAUUUUUUAAGACCUGGAAUGCAGAAGACAUUGACCUGCCAGACCUCUCAGAUACGGCUGUAGCUGUUCUCACUGUCUCAAAUGACACAGUCUCCCUUGUGAAGUUUGGUCCUGCGAUACAUUCUAUUGUUCUCGAGGGAGAUAUUGUGGUGUGUGAUAUAGCACAGUUGACCGAGGCAUUCAUUUUGCUUUUUGGCCUGAUUUAUGCUCUACAUCUAGACUAUCCAAAGCAAUUGUCGUACACGUUCAAUUUUAUUCAAAAAAUUAUAAUGGGUUUGGAUGACCUGAAGCGGUUACCUCCGAGGCUGCUUAGUCUGAAAAAUGAUCUACUGAUGAUGGAUGAGUAGUCUGCUUAAUAUAUGUCAUUGUUGGUACUGCCAGCAUGGUGAUACUCAAGCAACCAUUUUGUUUUUGUUUUCACUUUUUUUUUUUUUUAUCUCGGCCUAUUGUUGUUGGCCUAUUAUUUUUUGGAUUGGCCUAUUGUGUUGGCCUAUUUUUUUGUUUGUUUGUUAUUUGGAGUAUUACUUGUA